rnacentral:rRNA from 1 species
AGAGUUCGAUCAUGGCUCAGGACGAACGCUGGCGGCGCGCCUAACACAUGCAAGUCGAACGAGAGAGAGGGAGCUUGCUUCCUCAAUCGAGUGGCGAACGGGUGAGUAACGCGUGAGGAACCUGCCUCAAAGAGGGGGACAACAGUUGGAAACGACUGCUAAUACCGCAUAAGCCCACAGGUCGGCAUCGACCAGAGGGAAAAGGAGCAAUCCGCUUUGAGAUGGCCUCGCGUCCGAUUAGCUAGUUGGUGAGGUAAUGGCCCACCAAGGCAACGAUCGGUAGCCGGACUGAGAGGUUGAACGGCCACAUUGGGACUGAGACACGGCCCAG